CUAAAUAUCAAAGAGAACAACUCUCAGCUACUUAAACCCUAGACACAACACAGUAUAUUUGCAGGAUAUAUUGUACUGUCUUAUCCCCUACUCUGAACUACUUCAGUAACUCACUAUAUUGUAAAAACAACGAGGAGUCCUUGUGACACCUUAGAGACUAACACAUUUAUUUGGGCACAAGGUAAGUGUGAAGUCAGUCUAACGAGAUAAAUCAAUUAACAGCAGGAUACCAAGGGAGGAAAAAUAACUUUUGAAGUGGUAAUGAGAGUGGCCCACUACAGACAGUUGACAAGAAGGUGUCAGAAACAGUAGGGAGAAAUUAGUAUUGGGGAAAUUAGGUUUAGAUUUUUGUAAUGACCCAACCACUCCCAGUCUUUAUUCAGGGCUAAUCUGAUGGUAUCCAGUUUGCAAAUUAAUUCUAGUUCACUCCUCGUUGUUUUUGCUGAUACAGACUAACACGGCUACCACUCUGAAAGCUGUCACUAUAUUGUGCCUAGGUAAAGAUGCUGCACGCUAUUUAUGCUGCAAAUCUAACCAUGUUUAAGCAUAGCUGUGAAGUAUUGUUACGGCUAAACCCUUCUAUAACAUUUUUGCUUACCGAUGUGGACAGAAAAUAGUCAUUUUAUAACCAAAUUACAGAACCACGUUUUAGCUUAUGUUUGUCGAAAACUGUGCUAGGCUUUCACCCCUAAAAUUUCAUGCCAUUGCGAUUACUAGUGAAAAUGCUAAUGUAGACGAGCUGCUGGUGUUCUGACUCCUGUAUACUCUAACCUAGAGGGGCGAGGUGGUUAAAAAGUUGAUGGUCAAAGCCCCUUGUCAACACUGGGACUCCCAUCGUUGCUAUUACCUGUGGAGUUGCACUGGUGGUAGUAUAUUACUGGUAAGUUUUAGGGGAAGAAAGGCUAAUGUAGAAAAGGACAAUAGAGGUUAUAAUAUGCUUCUGUAAUAUGGUGAUAAAAUUUUUCUGUCUAUGCCAGCAAGAAAAAAAAGCAUGUUUAUAAUAUGGUUUGAUGGUGUGAAUUUUGUGUGGCAUAGGCAAGGUUCUACUCUGAAUUUUCUGAUUUUAGUUGACCCAAGCCCUGCUUAGCACAUCGAUUGGCACACACAAAAUGAAAUAAAAGCUGGCUAACUGCUAGGUCUCA
rnacentral:lncRNA from 1 species